UAGGGAAUCUUCCACAAUGGACGCAAGUCUGAUGGAGCAACGCCGCGUGAGUGAAGAAGGUUUUCGGAUCGUAAAGCUCUGUUGUUGGUGAAGAAGGAUAGAGGUAGUAACUGGCCUUUAUUUGACGGUAAUCAACCAGAAAGUCACGGCUAACUACGUGCCAA
rnacentral:rRNA from 1 species